rnacentral:rRNA from 1 species
AGCAGCCGCGGUAAUUCCAGCUCCAAUAGCGUAUAUUAAAGUUGUUGCAGUUAAAAAGCUCGUAGUUGAAUUUCGGGGUUCUACCGUUGGUCGGGCUAUUGUCUGUACUGGCGUGUAGAAUUUCUACCUUCUGGGGAACUAUCAUGUUAUUAAUUUAGCGUAGUAGGAAACCAGGACCUUUACCUUGAAAAAAUUAGAGUGUUCAAAGCAGGCUUAUGUCUGAAUACAUUAGCAUGGAAUAAUAAAAUAGGACGGUGGUCCUGUUUUGUUGGUUUCUGAAUCACCGUAAUGAUUAAUAGGGAUAGUUGGGGGCAUUAGUAUUCAAUUGUCAGAGGUGAAAUUCUUGGAUUUAU